UGCUGCUGCUGCUGCUGAUGAUGAUGAUAUUGAUCAUGACAAGUGCCAGUACUGCCAUUCAUCAUCAUCAUCAUCAUCUUGUCAU
rnacentral:miRNA from 1 species